rnacentral:rRNA from 1 species
AGAUUGAACGCUGGCGGCGUGCCUAACACAUGCAAGUCGAGCGGUAGCAGGUGUAGCAAUACAUGCUGACGAGCGGCGAACGGGUGAGUAAUGCUUCGGAAUCUACCCACGGGUGGGGAAUAACCAACCGAAAGGUUGGCUAAUACCGCAUAUGCCCUACGGGGUAAAGCGGGGGAUCGUAAGACCUCGCGCUGGUGGAUGAGCCUACGUCCGAUUAGUUAGUUGGUGGGUAAAGGCCUACCAAGGCGACGAUCGGUAGCUGGUCUGAGAGGAUGAUCAGCCACACUGGGACUGAGACACGGCCCAGACUCCUACGGGAGGCAGC